GUGGUAGGCCCACAAAGAGUAGAACACAAAGAGUAAUGUAAAUAAGGACCCUCUACACUCGUGCGCGAAUCACGGCGCGAAAAAACAGAUAGCAUCUGGCUAACCUAAUAUUGUUGACAGAUAUUUCCUUGUUGUAUCACCAAUUGUCUAUGAUUAAAAAAAAUGCUAAAAGUCUGUUAUCAAUUUAUAUCAUUCAUUUAAAUUGUUCGCGGUUUAUAAGGGGUUUAUUUCAGUUCAUUUUAAAUAAUAUUAAUAAUGAUUAUACCGAGUGAGGUCCGCAAACUAUUAUUUAACCUCGUAAAUAAUUACGACAAUGUGCGAAGUCGACGUGAAGCGUUGUAUAACGAAAUACUGCAAUGUUUACAAGUCGUAAACAAUUUAGUAGGACAAGUGUCUAAAGAAACGGAUAAACUAGAAGUUCUGGAAAAUAUCAAUAAAAUCAAAACAUUGGAACGUAACGAGUUACUGAAAACCAAUAUUUAGAAGAAAUCUGUGGAGUGACUGGUCAGUAGUAAUUUGAUAUAAAAAUAUAAAAUAUAUAAAAAUAUCUUGGCGAAA